UAUAGAUGAGAUUUGAGCCUCGAUUUUGUGAUUACCCAAGUACACUAAUGCAGUUUUUGAUAGUCGAGUUCACAGCAGGUAUUUCCCAUUCUUUGAGCUGAGUUGAUGAAGUGUGAAGCUGAAUUUGAGUACUUCUAUCUUCAGCAAAGUCGAAUUUUCCUGUGGGGGAAUUAAGCUUGCGACAGGGUAUUGGAUAGUCUCAACUGAAUUCUAGGAGCUUGGAAAGGCUAAUUUAGUGUCUUUACCUAAACCGAAGCAGGGGUUAAGCUGCAGCCUGGCACAAGGUUUGGUGCUCAUUUUGAGAUGAUUAUUGAGACCCUUGAAGCUGAAUUUGGGCUGAUUUGAGGAGGACCCAACUUCAGUUAAAGCAGAGGUUUAGUUUAGACUAAACCUAGGGAAUUUGGAUACUUCGGAUUGCCUACAAUUGUGAGAACAACAAGAAUUGUCAUCGAGUAGAGCCCUCUGCUAUAGGAGAGGCUAGGUAUCGUGGCAAGGGAGUCGCGUCUAGCUAGAUAUAGCUUGGAGCUUGACUAGAUGAUCACCUUGCUACUCGGGCUACAGCCGAGGGUGAUGUACCCGUGUAUAUAGAGAGACUACCAUUGUAUAUAUAUUUUGAGUGACCCUGUGAUGUCUGUGUGGUUUGAACCGGAAACUACAGUUUUGAUGUUUCUCUAUGAUGUUGAGAUUUUGGGUUGUAGAUUUACUGUUCUUCUGAUAGUGAUAUUAUUGACUUAUACUUUGCUCUGA